rnacentral:rRNA from 1 species
UGGGGAAUAUUGCGCAAUGGGGGCAACCCUGACGCAGCAACGCCGCGUGAAGGAUGAAGGUUUUCGGAUUGUAAACUUCUUUUGUCAAGGACGAAGAAAGUGACGGUACUUGACGAAUAAGCCACGGCUAACUACGUGCCAGCAGCCGCGGUAAUACGUAGGUGGCAAGCGUUGUCCGGAUUUACUGGGUGUAAAGGGCGAGUAGGCGGGUUUGCAAGUCAGAUGUGAAAUACCGGGGCUUAACCCCGGGCUGCAUUUGAACUGUAGAUCUUGAGUGAUGGAGAGGCAGGCGGAAUUCCCGCUGUAGCGAUGGAAUGCGUAGAUAUCGGGAGGAACACCAGUGGCGAAGGCGGCCUGCUGGACAUUAACUGACGCUGAGGAGCGAAAGCGUGGGGAGCAAACAGGAUUAGAUACCC